AGCAAGAGAUUCAAGUGCUCUCUGCUGCCACCAAGUGGCUAGCAUUUCUCCUAUAAAUACCUGCUCAGAAGGCCUGCCGGUCCUUUAUGCAAUGGCUGCUCUAACUCCUACAGGUUUAUUUUCGGCAAAAGCCCAGAAAUAAAUGGAUAAAUAGAUAGAAGAUCGAACAACUGAUGAGUAAAAGAUCCGAGACUGGCUCUAUUCACUGACACAGGUUUAUUUUCGGAAAAAGCCCAGAAUUAUAUGGAUAUAAAAGUAGAAGAUUGAACAAAUGAAGGGUAAAAGAUCUGGCAUUGGCUCUAUUCACUGACACAGGUUUAUUUUCGGAAAAAGCCCAGAAUUAUAUGGAUAUAAAAGUAGAAGAUUGAACAAAUGAAGAGUAAAAGAUCUGGCAUUGGCUCUAUUCACUGACACAGGUUUGUUUUCAGUAAAAGCCCAGAAAUAAAUGGAUAAAAAGAGAGAGAAGAUCGAAGAAAUGAUGAGUAAAAGAUCUGAGAUUCACUGACACAGAUACAUAACACAGUGACGCCUAAAAUGAACAAGAGAAAAUGGAUAAUAAGAUGACUUGCUGGAUCAGAUUCUACAAAGCUGCCUUCCUAUCACAAUAAAGGGUUUUCUGUCAAUUGUUUGUGUUUUUGAAAAUGUUAUGUAUGUUAUGUUAUGUAUUAAACUUUAUCUUUACAUAA